rnacentral:siRNA from 1 species
CUUCUAAUUGAAGGUGUGUCGCCC